GCAUUGCUGAGGAGUCCCAUAAUCGAACGAAACGGCCGUCCAGUGC
rnacentral:hammerhead_ribozyme from 1 species